rnacentral:rRNA from 1 species
GAUGAACGCUGGCGGCGUGCCUAAUACAUGCAAGUCGAGCGAACAGAUGAGGAGCUUGCUCCUCUGACGUUAGCGGCGGACGGGUGAGUAACACGUGGAUAACCUACCUAUAAGACUGGGAUAACUUCGGGAAACCGGAGCUAAUACCGGAUAAUAUAUUGAACCGCAUGGUUCAAUAGUGAAAGACGGUUUUGCUGUCACUUAUAGAUGGAUCCGCGCCGCAUUAGCUAGAUGGUAAGGUAACGGCUUCCCAAGGCAACGAUGCGUAGCCGACCUGAGAGGGUGGUAGGCCACACUGGAACUGAGACACGGUCCAGACUACUACGGGAGGCAGCAGUAGGGAAUCGUCCGCAAUGGGCGAAAGCCUGACGGAGCAACGCCGCGUGAGUGAUGAAGGUCUUCGGAUCGUAAAACUCUGUUAUUAGGGAAGAACAAAUGUGUAAGUAACUAUGCACGUCUUGACGGUACCUAAUGAGAAAGCAACGGCUAACUACGUG